GGAGCCCAAGAAAGUAAAAUCUCUCACUGCCUCCAUUUCUUCCCCUUCUAUUUGCCAGGAGGUGAUGGGCCCAGUGGCCAUGAUCUUGGUUUUUUUGAUGUUGAGCUUCCGACCAUAUUUUGCGCUCUCUUCUUUCACCCUCAUUAAGAGGUUCUUUAAUUCCUCCUCACGAAAUUUUUAUACUUACCGCCCACGAAUGCAUUGAUGGCAAAAUCUCCUUACCACCCACCAGUGCUCGAUGGCAGGAGGAUUCAGCUUAUGCUGUAGAACCCCCUACUGCCCACGUAGAAUCCUGAAAUGUCCACUAGUGGGCAGUAGGGACCAGGUUGACACCCCCUCCAAUCUAGCCCAACCCCCUCCAAUGCAGGAGUAUGAAGCUGUCCAAUAUGAGAAUUGAACCCUCAACCUUGGCAUUAUCAGCACCACACUCUAACCAGCUGAGCUAUCUAUGAGAUCUGACCUCAAAAACUGGUCAAUCUUAUUGUUAGGUUAGUCUCCCCCAACCCGGUGUCUUGCAAAUGUUUUAGACUUCAACUCCCACCAUCAUGGACCAUUGGUCAUGCUGGCUGGGUGCAUGGGGGAGGGGCCAGAAAUCUGGGAAAUUUUGGGUUGGAGUCUUCAAGGUCUCAGGCUGAAGACAUUUUUCUUCUUGCUUGCUCCCAUGAAAUCCUUUUUAAUGGGGGUUGCGUGGCGAGUUCCCGCCUCCCCCGGAAGUAAUAAAGACAUAGGAAAUGGGCAAAAUAGGCCACAACUUUAUUGAUUAAAGGAAUGAGCGGUAUUGGCUUAGGCAUUGGUCCUAUCGACUAGCCGGCUUCAGCCCGAUUGCGUGAAGACCGGCAAGGGUUAACCACCAGUAAAGGGAGUCCUGCUGAGGCACGUCAACUAGGAGCUCCUCUGGGGUUACCACUCGGGGGCUUGCCUUAGACCCACACCUCCAUAGGCUUCGGACAGGGCAACGCCCCCGGAGUCCUUUAUCGGACUACCCUUUGCUUUGGGGGGAGGUGAUGGCAUUUCCUCCCCCCCUCACAUACCCUUAACCCUUCCUUACCAAUGCUUAAUCGCCAAUGCCAAAGAGUUGUGACGAGUUGCUACGAGGUAGGCGAAAAACCAAGAGGGCCAAUGCCAAUUGGGAAAAAUUCCUACCAGGCACCUUGCAGCGACCGACCAAUGUCCAUAGCAAUGUCAAGAGCCUACCUAAAGGGAGGGAGGCUGGGAAACUGAAUCAGCUGGCACAACGAAAGAGGGCGAGCCCCAGCUGUGCCGGCCCUAAAUAGUGUGGGCCACGCCUCCCCAGCCACCUAAUUGGCUGACUGGGUGGACGAUGCGUCUGGGAUUCCCCCCAGUCUCGCAGGGGCUGGAGACAGCCCCCGCGCAUGUGGGGUGGGCGUGAAGCCCGCAACCCCACCUCCUCCCAAGCUCGGAAGUGGCUAUGCCAGGAUUUCCAAGCCCAUUGUCGUACGCCAAUUUAGGCCUCAAGAAACACCGCUUCAGAGAGAAGCGGGGUGUGUAUGUGUUCAUAUGACCGGAUGCUCUUCUACACAAAAAGGUUUUCAAAAAUCCACGCAGGUAGAAAACUAGCACUUCAAGGAGUGAGCUCAAGUUGAACUCUUCUCUUUGUCACUAUUUACAGGGAUUUAUUUACUUUUUUGUGGGGGUAUGGAAUAGCAUUCCAGUAUGUGAGACUCCCCCUCCCUUAUUCUGCCACCUGAGGUGGAGCAGCCCAGACGCAGGUUUAUCACCUUCAUCUGCUAUUUGCGGGAAGUCCCUCCCCCCUGCGUGCAACACUCCCAGGUCAUGCAUGCUGAAAGGAGCCCCAUAAAUAUCCUUCUAGAUAAUGCUUGCUUGCCGUCCAUUUCAAAGCGUGCCAAGUAGCAUAUGUCAACAAACAAGCAGGCACACAGCAGUAUCCAUCGCUCCCUCUGACCUGACAGUGCCCUUAUUGCCACUAGACAAAUAAUUUAAAAAAAAGAUCGCUCCUGGUGUAGGGGGGUUGCUUAGGUGCUAGUAAUUGCUGUGCAGUUGAGACUUGAUCUAUAGCAGCGUUUAAGGGAAGCUUGCAUUGAGUGGAGAGAAUGGGCGACUCUGCAGAGUUGUGAUGCAACUGAAACCCACAGACACUAAAUCAGCAAACAACCCAGAAACUGAAACAGAGUUUCUGGGGCGUGAAUUUGAAGGUCAUCAAGGACCUUUAACCCCCCCCCCCCCCUUUUCCCAUCUGGCAAGGGUUAGCUUAGAUCCUGCCCCUAUUCUUAGACAACUAACUAAGGCUGGUGCUGGUGGGGAGGACAGCAAGCUCCAGGUUUUUAACUUUUUGCAGGAUGCGGUGAAAGUGGAAGGAUCCCCCCUCCUUCCUCACUGAUAAGGCUAGAAUUCAGGGUCACCCAAUGGAAUGGCAGAAGAUUUGGAAGAGUAUAAAUAAAAGUGCAUGCAAAAAAAAUGAGAUAGCAGGAAAUUCCAGGUGCAGGGAGAAAGCUUUGAUACAGUCAUAUCAUAUUUGGAAUAUUUGGCUGCAUUUCCUUUGGGGCAACCAUUUUUUUUGGGGGGGGAGGGACACAUGCCAGUGGCAGGCAUAAAAAGGUAAAGGGACCCCUGACCAUUAGGUCCAGUCGUGGCCGACUCUGGGGUUGAGGCACUCAUCUCGCUUUAUUGGCCGAGGGAGCCGGCGUACAGCUUCCGGGUCAUGUGGCCAGCAUGACUAAGCCACUUCUGGCGAACCAGAGCAGCGCACGGAAACGCUGUUUACCUUCCUGCCGGAGCAGUACCUAUUUAUCUACUUGCACUUUGACGUGCUUUCAAACUGCUAGGUUGGCAGGAGCAGGGACCGAGCAACAGGAGCUCACCCCGUUGUGGGGAUUUGAGCCGCCGACCUUCUGAUCGGCAAGCCCUAGGCUCUGUGGUUUAACCCACAGCGCCACCUGCAUCCCAGCUGCAAAAGUGGGUGGAGAAACCUUUGUACAGUAGGCUAUUUUGCAAACACACUCAUGCAACCCUCUGUGCCCUCCAUCCAGGCAAGGAAGAGACAUUGCCAGAGUUUGAGGACACAUUAGAAGCCAGGCAAGAGGACCCAAGGAGGGUGCAAGGCAGGGCUGCUAAAGGAUAUAGCCUGGGGAGAGGAAGUAUGAUUUGGGGAGAACUGAGGUGGGGUGUGUUUGCCUAUGGCCUGUGGCCCUGAAUUCCCUCCCCCCUGCACUGCUGAAUUCACUGCCAGAUGUGUUGGCCACUGGCUAAGAUGACUUCAGGAGGGCAAUCAAACAAAAUCAAUGGAUAUAAAUAUGGUUGCCUGCACCCCAAUCUCUGAGAGGUUCCUUAUGCAAUGGCGCCUGAUUGAAAAGAGCAGGGGAAAUUGUUCAGAGCUGUCAUUUUGAGACGUUUCUUGUGGAAAGUGACAAAGUAUUUUAAAAAUCCUUUAAAAAGAAUAAGCAAUGGAACAGUCUUUAGCACAGUAGACAGAGUAAAAUUACAAAAAUAUAGACAAAACUGACAGCUUUUAAUAACAAAUAUGCAUAACAACUUCAUGGAGAUUAAAGAAUGAUACACACUCCGCAGGGCUGAAUUUUCUGCAUAGAAUAUUGCUUGACUUAUGAUUGAACCUUUCCUGUGUUCAGUACAAAGGUAGGCAGGCAAACAAACAGAAACACAAGCAUGCGCUGAAAUGCACAUGUGCCUUUAGAAGCACUACGAAGCCAAAGGUUUAUUUUAUCAGUCAGAGACACAGCAUGGGUGGGGGGUGAGGUGGGAAGUCGAAUUGAGUCUUCUUGAUGAAUUUACAAAGAGUUUUGCAAAAAAUUAAUAAUACUCAAUAGUUUUUUUAGCAGAGGGCCUUCCUGGUAGUGGCGCCCGCCCUGUGGAACUCCCUCCCAUCAGAUGUCAAGGAAAUAAACAACUGGGCAUAAAUAAACAGGGAAGUUUUUAAUGUUUGAUGUUUUAUCGUGUUUUUAAUAUUCUGUUGGGAGCUGCCCAGAGUGGCUGGGGAAACCCAGUCAGAAGGGUGGGGUAUAAAUAAGUUGUUGUUGUUGUAUUGGUUUGCAGAAAUGAAGUAUUCAUUUCGCUCAAGUGUGGGGAGCCUCAGUUCUGUGGGGCAGAUGUAGCCCUCCAAGCAUUUUUCUGUCACUCUUGGGAGUCUCCCCGUGCCACACACACCCUUUUUCACAAGCCACGCCACUCGCCAGCCCUGAUUUUUCACUCCCUUGGUGAGUUUUUGCCUGGCUGGAAUCUGUCCUCAGGCUAUGUGCUUACUGGAUAAAGGAAAGUGGGGGGAGGGGAGUGUGUGCAGAAAACAGCCUACUGUAGAAAGGGCAAGAUAGAUGUGCAUUUGUUUCCCCGCCCGCUGUUGUCUCUGGCCCCACCCACCACUGUCAUGUGACACCCCCUCCCAGAACUUUGCCCGGAAGGAAACACGACCCUGUUUGACCUAACCUCUGCCUAGAACAGGCAAUAUGAUGAAAACAACAUGUAUUGCAGGCUCAGCUGCUUCAAUUCCACAAGGACCGGCACAAAGCUUUUAUCCAAUCUCGCUCUUAAGUGGUGUUCGGCUACUUGGCCGGGUCAGAGGGGCACAUUUCUGAUGCUGAAAUAAAAUUGCCCCUAAGUGAUAUUAGGAGUGGCAGGCAGAAAACCAUAAUAAAGACAGGCACGAGGGACUGAUUUUGCUGAGGCUCAUAUUCCUGUUUCAUUGCUGUCCUUCCUAACCUAAUAGUACUACGCCUCAUGGGGAAUUUUUUUUUUUAACAAGUUCUGGGUUAAAUCUGUGGUACAAAGUGAGAGUGAGGUGAUAUUUCUAUAUAGCACCCAGUUUCCGAAGCAGUGAGAUGUGGGAAACCUCAGCCCUGGAAGCUGAAGGCUAGGCCUCUCUACUCACACACCAGCCCUGGUCUGCAUUCCUUUGAGUGCCUCUUUGCCUAGUGAGAAUGUGCCCUUGAGUUGCGAUAAUGCCUGGUGUUUGUCUGCUUGGAGGAUGCUGAGAUAUCUGCAGACUCAGAAACCUCUGACAUUUGCAGUAGUUGGACUGAAAAUAAGUGGGUUCCAUGAUAGAUUAAGAUUAGAUCAAGAUUAAAGAUGUUUAAAAAGAAAUGGAAAUUUGAUAUAAAAAAGGGAAAAUUUUUAACGUUAUAUGAUAUUAAGAUCAAGGAUUAGGUUUAAAGCAGUUGAAGAGUAUAUUUUAACAUUUUAUUAAAUUAAAGAUUGAGUUUGAAAGUGAAAAGAAACUGACAAUAAUUUGGACUGGGAAUAAAAGAGGGAGGUAUGAGGAAGUCCAGAAAAUAAGUAAUCUAAAAAUGGGAAUGGAAAAGAGAGUUUGUUUUUAAUUGUUAUGCUUUUUGUUUUUUAUUGUUGAGUUUUGUAUUGCUUUUUGUGUGUGUUGUUUUUUGUUGUUGUUUAAAACUUUAAUAAAAAUUAUUUAAAAAAAAAAAAAAAGAAUGUGGCCUACUGGGCAAACGUUAAGAGUCCCUUCCGUGGUUCUGGCCGCAAGCACUUUUUCCAGCAGUGGCCUGCAGCCCCUGCCAAGUUGCCCCUGAGGGAAAUGUGGCCCUCAGCUUGGACAAUAUUCUAGGGGUAGUGCUACUAGGUUUUAGCUUCCUUCGAAGGGGAGCAAGGACCUUUUUUGGAGAAUUUGGUGGGAAGAACCCUCUGGGGAACCCCCAAGGGAAGAAGACUCAGAGCCCUGGGAGAGGUGAUGGGAUGACAAUGAGUGGUCAGAGGGAGGAGAUGGGGAAGAGGAGAUGUAGGAAGCUGAAGAGGUGACAGGGCUUAGUAAGAAGGGAGAAUUUGUGGCAGAGAGAAGUCUAGAAUCAGAAGGAGAAGCUGAAGCAGGUAAGCGGGAGGAAGGAGGCCAAGAGGUGGAAAUCAGUUAGGCUGGUGAAGAGUCACAAGUGUCUCCCCCUCCUGCUGAAAGAAGCUCCCCUCCCUCCUUGUUUCCCAGAACCAGAAGAGGGCUGAAAUGGGCAGAGCAGCAACAGGCUUCAUGCAGGUGUAGUCUCUGAUUGCUUGGGAAAAGUCCUGGAAAGUUGGGGACUUAGAUGGCUGUGGGGAGGCAGGGACUUUCAGUCUUGGCAGCUGAAAUCUUGGAGUAAGAUCACUGUGCUCAUUAAGCCUGACACUUAGUCAAGCCUGUGAAGAUAGCAUUUUUUGCUAAUACAGUCAUACCUUGGUUCUCGAACGCCUUGUGACUCGAAUGUUUUGGCUCCCGAACACUGCAAACUUGGAAGUAAGUUCCGGUUUGCGAACUUCUUUUGGAAGCUGAAUGUCUUGAUAUGGCUUACACAGCUUCCGAUUGAAUGCAGGAAGCUCCUGCAGUCAAUUGGAAGCUGCACCUUGGUUUUUGAACGUUUUUGGAAGUUGAACGGACUUCAGGAACAGAUUCCGUUUGAGAACCAAGGUACAACUGGAAUGUGUCAGGAGUUCAGCCUACACUUGAGUAGGACCCUGGCAGAGACACAUGCCUGACUGGCAUGUUCUCUCCCUCCUGGUCUUUCGUUUGGGAGCUUCAAAAGCUUUCUUCUGCCUGAACAUCACAGCUACCAAUGCCAACAGACACCGGCACACUUAAGGAUCCGCAGAGUUUGCCCAGUUGCAUAACAGCCCUCAGCAACUCAGCAUAUUGGCUAGUCUACUUUAUUUACAUAUAAACACACACGGAGCUCUGCAACAUGGCUCCCUCUCUCUCUAACAUCAGACAGCAAAGAGAAAAAAAAGGACAAUAGUCCCACUUCAUGGAACACAGUAACACAAACAUCCUGCCUCCGUCACUUCCCACUCUGUGGAGUCAAAACACAUACCAUCAUGUGAAAGACAACAAUCCCAUGAAUGCAAUCACGAAGCAGGAAUUCUAACAGAAUGAGUUGACUCUAACCGUGAAUGGUGUGAUGUAAAGGUAAAGGUAAAGGGACCCCUGACCAUUAGGUCCAGUCGUGGCCGACUCUGGUGUUGCGGCGCUCAUCUCGCUUUAUUGCCGAGGGAGCUGGCGUACAGCUUCCUGGUCAUGUGGCCAGCAUGACUAAGCCGCUUCUGGCGAACCAGAGCAGCGCACAGAAAUGCCGUUUACCUUCCCGCCAGAGCAGUACCUAUUUAUCUACUUGCACGUGCUUUCGAACUUGGCAGGAGCAGGGACCGAGCAACGGGAGCUCACCCUGUCGCGGGGAUUCAAACCGCCAACCUUCUGAUCGGCAAGUCCUAGGCUCUGUCGUUUAACCCACAGCACCACCCGUGUCCCUAACACUCUGUGAGGUGAGUGGGGCUGAGAGACUUCAGAGAAGUGUGACUAGGUCACCCAGCAGCUGCAUGUGGAGGAGCGGGGACGCGAACCCGGUUCACCAGAUUACAAGUCCACCGCUCUUAACCACUACACCACACUGGCUCUCUCCUGGCUCAAUCUGUGACACAGAGGGACCUACCUCUGUGGUCAGAGGCAAUGUGCCUCCGAAUACCAGCUACAGGUCCUGUUUGCUGGCUUUUCACAGGCAUAUCUGGUUGAUAUGGAUUCUGAAAGAGAUGGCCCCAUCAGGGCUAUGACUACGGUCUUAUGUUAUUAUGUCCCUUGUAGAUCCUGCCCUGGAUCCCAUUUUGAAUCUAAGAUUCCCCCCCUGCCCAGCUGAUUCCUGCUCAGCUUAAGCCUGAAUCAUUUCUUUCCCCUCCUUCCAUCAUAACUUGCAAGGUACCCUACAACGCACCAUCCUCCUCUAUGUCUCCUUCUUCCUUGACCCCAUGCUGCUUUGGGGGGAGGCGGGGAGCCAGCUAGGCAUGAAAGAAGGGAAAGGGGGGAGCUCAGCACUUGACUGAGACAUGAAAGGCAAAGAACAGCCUUCCGGGAAAUGCAUUUUAUCCUGACACUUAAUGAAAUAAAUAGAGAGGUAAAAAUGACAAAUUAACAUUUGUUAAACUCUCCCCCAAAAAGAUGCAAAUGAAGGACGAAUCCCCGUAGUGGACUGAUGAAAAGGAAGGGAAAUUUGAAAGCCUUGUGCAAUUACUGAAGGUUAUUAAUAUUGAUAGAAGACAGCUGAAAAUGGCCUAAUUACUUGGCGAGUCUUAAAAGAUGCUGCUGAUGAGAACUGAAGCGGGGAGGCUGAGGGGUUGGUUUCGUGGGGAAGCAGGGAGUCCAGAGUCAGAGCCGCAGUGAGCUGAUCUCUGACUUCUCCUCCCGGGAGAAGCGAGUCGAGGUGUGAGCAGAUUUGUCGGGUCAGGGAGUGAGGCAUGGGAGCGCCAGGGUGGUCAGUCAUGAAAGAGAAGGCGGAAUCAGGUCCCUAGACAGAGACCAGGUAAAAGCAGGUCCAGGAGCGCCAGUGUAAUUAGUCAGGAGGAAGGGGGAAAUGGAGAAUGAACUCAAGACUUGAGGAAAAGGACUUGAGCUUAGGCAGAUGGAGAAAGAAUCAUGAAAGGUUUGGGCAGUGGACAAACUGAACUAGGGGGAAUCUACAAGAGUGGAGAAUAGCCUCCCUGGUAUUCAUACUCCUCCUCCUCCUCCUUCUACUACUACUACUACUUUAUUAUUUGUGCCCCAUCCAUCUGACUGGGUUCCCCCAGCCACUCUGGGUGGCUUACAGCAUAUACAAAAACAUAACACUAAACAUUAAAAACCUCCCAGUAUAGGGCUGCCUUCAGAUGUCUUCUAAAGGUUGUAUAGUUACUUAUCUCCUUGACAUCUGAUGGGAGGGUGUUCCAUAGGGAGGAUUCAACUGUUGAAAAGUCCCUCUGCCUGGUUCCCUGUAACCUCAUUUCCCACAAUGAGGGAACUGCUAGAAGAACCUUGGAGCUGGACCUCAGUGUCUGGGCUGAAUGAUGGGGAUGGAGAUGCUUCUUCAGGUAUACUUGGCCAAGGACUUUUAGGGUUUUAAAGGUCAGUACCAAAACUUUGAAGUGUGCUUGGAAACUUACUGGGCGCCAAUGUACAGUAGGUCUUUCAGGACCAGUGUUAUAUGGUCCUGGCGGCCACUCCCAGACACCAUUCUAGCUGCUGCAUUCUGGAUUAGCUGCAUUUUCCGAUUCACCUUCAUGGAGCCCCAUGUGGAGUGUUUUGCAGCAGUCCAACCGUGGGUCACCUGAUGACAUCAGGUGAUUGACAAAUGGGAGCCCCUGCCCACAUGUCAACAUGGCCCAUGUGUGUAGCGGGGUCAAGGAGGUCAGGAUCUGGCCCCCUAGCUGGAUCCUAUUCCCCAUCUCUGCUCUAAAGUUUAAAAAGGUCCAGACAGUCAUUUAUUUGUAAGAAUGAACGUUGGGGUAAGCACCACAUCAUUUUUUUCGCUGCAUGAUUCCAGGGCAGCAAUCUCAGGCACAAACCUGGCCGUAUAUUCCAUUGAAUUCAAUGGCCCUUCAAAUGAUAAACAGGAAAACAGGGAUCAGAAGAAUAAAGUUUUUAAGAAUCUGUCAGAGGAAUAAGCCGUUUUUACUCCUAUGCUAGUUUUUUCAAGCAUUAUUUUAUUUAUUUGCCUUACUAAAAAUGUAUGCCGUAUAGCUGAGCUCCCUGCAUUCUCUCGCUCAGUAGCCUGUAAUGUCUAAAAAUAAAAUACAUCUACUCUCUACUUGACCUCGCACUGCUUUAGACAAACUAGAUCUGCAUGUGGAAAAGAAAAGCUCCAAAUGAAUAGAGACAUAACAUAUUCAGCGAAUCCUUCUGGGAAAUGCAGCCCUUUUACAGCAGCCUAUCUUGAUGGUUCAUUAAAACAGAGCACAUAUGGUAUGUGUGUGUGUGUGCGUGAGAGAGAAAGAGAGGGAGAGAGAGAGAGAGAACAGGAAAGAAAUGGAGCAUUUUCAGAAUCUUCCAAAAGGGAUGCAAAGUUAUUUGCCCAUUCUAAAGAGAGCAGCAAAGACACUGAGAUGAGUCGGGCCACUGCUAGAAAGAAGGAGCCAGGAGGAAAGUAGAAAAGAGAUGCAAGGAGAAUGUGGGACAGUCUGCACAUUUUUUUCCCACCUGUGGAACUCCUGCACACCUGGUGAAGAGAGGCUGGGCUUCCUCCCCAUCAUGGUACCUUAAGCAGAACACUUCCUGCCACUGUAAACCUGGCCCUUUUCUGCUUUCAAGGGUCUUUCGGAGUGCUUUGCAAAAGGCAUGACAAUCAGCUGAUAGCUGGGACUUGUGGAAAUGCUUAAAGGCAUGUUUUGCAUGAGAUGGGUUCCCUCCAUACCUUCCUGCCCCACACCUGACUUCAAUUUCCAUUCCUCUCUGUUUCUUCUUUAUCUAGUCUUAAUUUCCGUUCCCCACAUUUCCACGUUAUUUUGACGGUGUUAAAGACCUCGUGAAAAUUCAUCAGCAUUCGAGUGAGAAUUUCUCCUAAUGCACUCAAUUUUGCAUAACAUACACAUUUUUUGCAAAGCAUUUCUCCCAAUGCAUUUUUGGUAUGUCAUUUUUAGCAAUAUGUGCAUCUUUAUGUGAUCUUUACCCAAGUGUACGCAUUUUGUACACAUCGCUUGGCUGGAGAAGUGCAUUGCAAAAUUCAGAUGGGUGCAAAUUUUGAAGGAUGACAUGUAACUCACAACUUACACACAUUUUUUAAAUAUAUAAUUUUUAUUAAAUUUUCUGUUUUUCAAUUUCAAAUACUCAUUUUACAUCUGUAAGAUAUCAAUAAUGACUUCGUGCUUGGCAAUUAAUUUGAGAGCCAGUGUGGUGUAGUGGUUAAGAGUGGUAGUCUUGUAAUCUGGUGAACCAGGUUCGCAUCUCCGCUCCUCCACAUGCAGCUGCUGGGUGACCUUGGGCUACUCACACUUCUUUGAAGUCUCUCAGCCCCACUCACCUCACAGAGUGUUUGUUGUGGGGGAGGAAGGGAAAGAAGAAUGUUAGCCGCUUUGAGACUCCUGAAGGGGAGUGAAAGGCGGGAUAUCAAAUCCAAACUCUUCUCUUCUUCUUCUUUUUUUUUUAAAGGGGGGUGGGUGUUCAGGGAAAAGAUUUCUGACAAUCCCACCUGCCAUUGAACCCAGUGUGUUUUGACUAUAUAUGAUUUUGGCUUUGGGCACAAUCCCCGGAACCUAAUCCCCAUGUAAACUGAGAGUCACUUGUAUUGUUUCAGAAAGUGCAGAUUAGGUAGGUUCACCUCUAAAUGCGAACCAAAACAAAUUUAUCCCCCAUCUCUACUCCCAAAUUAGUGGUUCCUAACCAGUCCUGUUUAUAAGGGCAACUGCUCUCCUAUCAACUGGUAUUUUCAGCAUUCCCAAAAUUCUGCAUCUAGUGUUUGCUACGAAUGCAACUGAGAGCAUUCAUUGCCUUUGGUAUAGUCAAGGCUGCCUGCUAAUGCCCUGUUUGACCUUCUGCUCCCGCAGGUAAAAUGGUAAAGGAACCGAACAAAACAUGCAUCUGUGAUUCCAAAAAUGGCUUUCGCUCUCAGAAAACCUUCUUAAAAAGCAUUGUUCUUGAAUAAUAACUAAACUGAAAUGGAAAUGCAAUGCUCAUUUGCAAAGAUGGAACAAUCUCUAUUCUUAUCCCUUGCAGGCACUUUCAAGCUAGAAUUCUGAAAGCAUCAACUAAUGUUCAGAGAUAUACUAAAUCCCAAAUAGUUGCACCCUCCAUCUUCAUCUCCCUCGAGUGCUGUGCCUCGGAGUGGGAUAACAACUUUUUUGGGGUGUGUGAUAUUUGCUCCACUGCACUUGCAACCCACUGGGUUGAACACAGCCAGCCAGCCGUUAUGUUUUACCAGAUGCAUGAUAACCCACCCCAACCAGGCAACAAAACCAGUGAAUUUAUUGAAGAUGGAGCAAGCUUGUUUUCUCCUGCUCUGGAAGAUAGGGCUCAAUCCAAUGGCUUCAGGUAGCAAGAAAGGUGAUUCUGACUAAACAUCAGGAAGAGCUUUCUGACAGUAUAAUAAUAAUAAUAAUAAUAAUAAUAAUAAUAAUUUCUUAUUUGUACCCCGCCCAUCUGGCUGGGUUUCCCCAGCCACUCUGGGCAGCUUCCAACAAAGAUUAAAAAUACAUUAAAAUGUCACACAUUAACUACUUCCCUAAACAGUGCUGCCUUCAGAUGUCUUCUAAAUGUCAGGUAGUUGUUUAUCUCUUUGACUUCUGAUGGGAGGGCGUUCCACAGAGCGGGAGCCACUACCGAGAAGGCCCUCUGCCUGGUUCCCUGUAGCUUUGCUUCUUACAAUGAGGGAACCGCCAGAAGGCCCUCAGAGCAGGACCUCAGCAUCCGGGCAGAAUGAUGGGGGUGGAGACGCUCCUUCAGGUAUACAGGUAUUAACUGUUUGACAGUGGAACGGACUUCCUCGUGAGGUGGUGGAGUCUCCUUCAUUGGAGAUUGUUACGCUGAGGUUGAGUGGCCAUCAGUUGGACUCAGAGUUCCUUCCAGCUCUAUGAUUCUGUGACUGAAUCGACUCACAGUACAUGGUUGUACUGCAUUCAGCCUUAUGGGUAACAAGUUAUACAAGCAGGUUCUACGAGAAAACAUGCAUUCUGCCAGCUGAGCCUACUGCUGAAAGACAAUAGCGAGACAAAGAUAUGAAUGGGAAGACCGCAUGCAGCGAUGAAUCCAUCAUAGUCUUCUUCCAGACUAGUAACCAUGGCAGCCAUCUGUCUCUCCCCUGCUCACAUGGCAUAUGGUGAUGAAAACGUUGGUAAAUCACCAACAGGCAAAUGUUCCUCCUGACCAUUCCAUACACCAGCACAUAAGGUCAUGCUUUUCCUUAGAAUGUCCUGCUUUUCCUCAGGAUGCCCCUAUUUUAAUGGGAGAAAUGUUGGAGGGUAUGGUAAGGUAAAGGGACCCCUGACCAUUAGGUCCAGUCGUGGCCGUCUCUGGGGUUGCGGCGCUCAUCUCGCUUUACUGGCCGAGGGAGGUGGCGUACAGCUUCCGGGUCAUGUGGCCAGCAUGACUAAGCUGCUUCUGGCGAACCAGAGCAGCACACGGAAACGCCGUUUACCUUCCCGCCGGAGCGGUACCUAUUUAGCUACUUGCAUUUUGACGUGCUUUGAACUGCUAGGUUGGCAGGAGCAGGGACCGAGCAACCGGAGCUCACCCCCUCGCGGGGACUUGAACCGCUGACCUUCUGAUCUGCAAGUCUUAGGCUCUGUGGUUUAGACCACAGCGCCACCCAUGUCCCCUAGUGAAAUAUACUCAGAGUCGCAAAGUGAUUUCAUGCUCUUUAUUCAGCUCAUAGUGGUGAGGAGGAAUGAAUGAAUGUCCCCUCAAAGUAUCUGCUUUAUAUACAUUCUUUACACAAUGGGCUGCACAUGAUUGGCUAAUUCUGGAAUUCUACUGUAAGCCAAUCAGGUUGUGGAUUCACUUCUAUCUGGAGCAUGAUUGGGUGGUUCCUGCCAACCAUUCAUACUGCUGCAUUGUUCUAGGACCAAUCAGACUGCUGCAUUCUGAAUCCUAUUGUUCUAGGACCAAUCAGACUGCUGCCUUUUGGAUCGUAUUGUUCUAGGACCAAUCAGACUGCUGCAGUUUGAAUCCUAUUCAACUCAGUACAUAACACCUAGCCAACCUUAAGCCCUGGUUUAUUUUUGGUUUUCAAAUUCUGGCUUGUUAGGGCAUAACUAAAUCACAGUCCCAAGUUCAAAUGUCCCGGUAAGCUAGGGAUGGGAAGAAAUUGGAUUCAUAAACAUUAAAAGGUGAAUUUACAUGAUUUGCACUUUCUGCAAAAUGAAACAUGGCCAUCCUUUGAAAUCUGCACCAUUCUGAAUCUGCAGUGCAGUUCUCCAGCAAAAUAAGGCAUUUAAACAUUGCAUAUACUGGGGUACAUUUGGCAUAUAAAUGCCUAUAUUAGUUAAAAUGACAUACAAAGCUGCAUAUUAGGGGAAAUGUGUAUAGUUGGCAAAAUUGCAUACAAAACUGUGUAUAUCAGGAAUGCUGAUGAGUUUUCAUGAGGAUUUCUUUUUUUAAAAAAAUUCUCAAAUUGAUGUGGAAAUGUGGAUAACUGUACUAAAGAUGGGAAAGGUGGGAGACUGGGAGAAAUUGAAACGGACAGGUUUUCUCAUCCCUACAGGAUGCCAGGCUUAAUUUGCUUGUUCCUGGUUUGUGUCUUCUACUCACACCAGGUGAAACAGGACCCAUCAUUCGAGGGGUGGGGUGUCAUACUCAGGAAGCUGUGAUAAACCCAAGUAUUGAUCUUCUAAAGUCUUGUAGGGCCUCCUGUAAGAUUUCUAAGAUUGCUGAGCUGUAGAAAGGACCAGUAUGGUGGUGGCCCCAUAUCUGUGGAACUCCCUCCUCAGGGAAAUAUGUUUGACCCCUUUAGUGCUGGCUUUUAAAGUGGCAUUGAAAACCAAAUUGUAAUUUAAGGCGCGGAACUUUUCCAUGUUUUACAUCACUGCUGGUUUUAAACCGCUGGCUUUCACUUGCUCUUCUUGGCUGCUUCAAUUAAUAUUGAAUGAAUGUAGUGCUAGCUUUUGAAAUGUUAUAGCUGUUUUAACUUUGAUAGCGUUUUAUUGGAAUUGUGUUUUAAUCUCUUUAUGUCAGUAACUGUGAGAAGGCUUCGCCCUAAAAGGCAGUCGAGCUAUCUUCAAAAUAAACCGAGAGGGUGAGCCUUGACCAGCUCAUCCUAGGCCCAGCAACUGCUUACCCCCAUUUUAACUGGGACAUCCCGAAUCACAGAUGUCAAUUCUGGCUUCUAUUUGGAUCCCGGCAUGUCCCAUUUAAGACUGGCACCCUGGCACGAAUCAACAGGGUUCCUUUGGCAAUCGUCAAAGGGGCAUGGCAGACGGUAGGUGGUGGACCUGGGCAGGUGGGGGGGUGAAAAGCCGAGUUGGCCUGGGUAGGUGAGGGGUGGAUAUGGGGGGCUAGGACAUGGGUGGCACUGUGGUCUAAACAACCGAGCCUCUUGGGCUUGCUGAGCGGAAGGUCGCGGUUCGAAUCCCCGCAACAGGGUGAGCUCCCAUUGCUCUGUCCCAGCUCCUGCCAAUCUAGCAGUUUGAAAGCACGCCAGUGCAAGUAGAUAAUUAGGUACUGCUGCGGUAGGAAGGUAAACAGCGUUUCUGUGCGCUCUGGUUUCCGUCAUGGUAUUCCAUUGCAUCAGAAGCAGUUUAGUCAUGCUGGCCACAUGACCUGGAAAGCUGUCUGUGGACAAACACUGGCUCCCUCGGCCUGAAACGAGAUGAGUGCCGCAACCCCAUAGCCGCCUUUGACUGGACUUAACCAUCCAGGGGUCCUUUACCCUUUACCUUUUACCUAUGGGGGGCUGCAUGAAGGGGUGGUCUUGGAUUUGGGAAAGAAAAUGUUGGAGAAUAUGGGGCUUAGGAAUGAAGUCCAAUGUUUUACCCAGGAAUGGGCAACCUGUAGCCUUCCAGAGGUUGUUGGACUCCCAUCAGCCCCCAGCCAGCAAGGCCAGUGAAUGAUGGGAACCAGCAAUAUCUGGAGAACUACAUUUUCUGUUCCCCCAUUCCUGCUUUGGCACUACACUUGAGCGGCUCUUUAACCAGUGUAUCCAGGUGGAAAUAAGCUCUCUCGUUUAUCUAAACAACGUUUAUUAAAAUGUGCUGCACAGUGUCUUUUGGCCCUCUUCAGCCAGGCUGCAUUGUAUUAUACUGAUUUUUUUAUUUUUUAUUUUAAGAUACGAUGAUUUCUUUGUAAAGUUUCACACACACACCUCUGGUUCGGCAUCUUAAUUCUAAUCAUGGUUUCCUCUUAAUCAAGGAACAAGAGGGGAGUUUUAAAUAUGCAGUUUCAUUUUUCCCCCCAAAAAUAAUAUCAUUUUCAAAAGAUGUAUGGAAUUUAUGGUGAAUAAUUCAUGUCCUUUAAGAUCAGAAGUUUUUAGACAUAAAAAGGGGAUUCCACAGGGGUUUGGUGCAUUGAAAACAAAAAAAAUAAAAAAUAAAAAUGUCUUUCCGGAUAAAUGCAGCUAAAGUGGGAUAAAUCUUGCAGCAGCAGAGGAAACGCAUAUUCUAAAAAGGGUCGGGGUUUUUUGUUUUUGCUAAAGCUGGCACGACUUUCCUCCAGAAUUAAAAUAUUCAGUUUGGGGAUCGAUGAAUUCUGGUUAACAUUCGCUUUUAAUGUCUGCCAUACUUGUUCUCCAGAACAUAAAGAACAACUCUCCAAAGAACUAAUGGUGAAAAAGAACCAACCCCCCCCCCCCACACCAUAGCUUAUAUAUCCCCGCAAUGAGGUUAUCCUGAUUAAAUGAUCACUUAAAUUACUGCUCUCUUGUGAAAUUAAAAAGAGGAGAGAGAAAUGGCCUUUAAUUGGGGGAAGCUGAGUGGUGAUAAAUAAAAUAAGCUUCUUAAGAAGAAGUGCAGUGAAGACAUCUAUGAACCUCAAAUCUCCAAUCCUCCCCAAGCCUAGUCAGAAGCUCCAUUUACAUUAAAGGGGUUUUAAAAGGAUUUACUUUUGAACAAAAGUGGCUAGAAUUGAGAUGUCAGAUAUUUACUCAGAAGUAAACCCUACUGUGUUCAUUGAGGCUUACUCAACCUAUGGAAUUUCCUCGCUCAGAAGCAUAGCUGUCAACGUUUUCCUUUUUUUAAGGGAAAUUCCUUAUUCCGAAUAGGAUUCCUCGCAAGAAAAGGGAAAAGUUGACAGCUAUGCCCAGAAGGCAGUGAUGGCCACCAACUUGGAUGUCUUUAAAACCGGUUUAGAUACCCUCCAACCUUUCUCCAGUGAAAAUAGGGACGUCCUAUUCAAUAAUAAUAAUUUUAUUAUUUAUACCCUGCUAUUCUGACUGGGUUGCCACAACCACUCUGGACGGCUUCCAACAUAUACAUAUAAAAACAAAAUAAAACAUUAAACAUUUUUUUAAAAAAAUCUUCCUUAUACAGGGCUACCUUCAGAUGUCUUCUAAAAGUUGUAUAGUUGCUUUUCUCCUUGGCUUGGGGGUCACAUAACUCCACACCCUCCAAGAGCUCUCCCAAGAAAAUAGGGGCAUCCUACCAUGCCAUAUGCGGGUGGCACUAUGGGUUGAACUACAGAGCCUAGGACUUGCCGAUCAGAAGGUUGGUGGUUCGAAUUCCCACAAUGGGGUGAGCUCCCAUAAAGCGAGAUGAGCGCCGCAACCCCACAGUCGGCCAUGACUGGACCUAAUGGUCAGGGGUCCCUUUACCUUUACCUUUUAAGGUUGGCUACCCAUCCUCACUUCUUAGGGAGCAAAACCCAAGAUCCACAGGAAGCCAGGCUUAAUUCCUUAUUUGUUUUCUGCUUGUACCAAGGGAGAGAUCAGGCAGUGUGUACCAACAUACAGCUCACGCACAGCAAACCUCAGUAACCCAGUAACUGUGGUUUGUGUUGAAAGGGGAAGCUGGUCCUCACAUGUGCACCCCGUGAAGAGGGGCGAACCAGUAUGGUUAUGAACCAAUCCGCAGUUGUGCCGAUCUCUUCUGUUUCGAAUUCAGCCUCUUUACUGUUCCCAAUUUAACUUCACUCUCCCCCACAUUUACUCAGGGUGGGCUAAGUGGAAAAUCAAUAGCGUGUCAGGAAACAUCACUUUUGAUUUUCAUUUUCUGCUUUGCCUUUCAUUCAGGGAUGAAAUUCAAACCUGUUUCAUCCAUGUAGGGAUAAAUCAGGUUUUUUAGGAAAGUAACUGGGGCUGUUUUUGGUUUCUGAUUUUCCUUUUAUACCAUCCAAGUGCAAGGCUUGUUUGCUCGGCCUCAGAGCAAAGGGUGCCAAAGACAUCUUAUACCCCAAGUAGCCAAGCCUUUGCUAACUAUUGUGACGUGCUAUUACAUUGUGUGACAUUUUAUCCAAUAAAAUAUAUCAUUUAUUUGUAAAAGCAUUUCUGUACUGCCAUAUCCUAUCACAUCAGGGUGGUCUACCAUGUUAAAAGACAAAACACUGUUGGCUUAAAAGUCCUCAGGAGAUGCAUGAAAGUGAGGGUGCCUGACAAAUCUCUGCUGGAAGAGUGAUACUAAGUCCCCAGCUUCUUGUGGAGGCCAGUUGGGCCAUUGCAGAACUGAGGACAACUAAUAACACUUCUGAUUAUCUCGGUGAUCAAGCUGGGCUCAAGUGGUCCUUAACAUCUCCUAGGCCCAAGUUGUUCAAGGCCUUGUAGGCCAUGAAAUCUCAAGCCAGGCCCAAGAUGUCCUUAGCAUGAAUGUUGAAGUCAACCAGCACCGCCAUCUUGGGCUCCUCCUGCACCAUGCCAAAGAUCACCUCAGCUAACCUGGCUAGGGAGGCUGUUGGGCACCAGGGAGCUGGUAGACCCAAAGCAUCCCUGACCUGUCUCUUUGGCCCAGCACCUGAUGCAGACCCACCCACCCCCAGUCAUGCUGCAAGGAAGAAGGUGAUGGAGUUCAUUCUCCUGGGGAACUCCAGUGGACCAUGGCAAUUUAAUGGGUAGAUGGAGUGUGCUGUUCCCAUCUACCCCCUUGCAUGUUCACUAAACAUGGAAAAAUUCAAAGUGUUGGUUAAAGCCCUAAAUGGCCUCGGCCCAGUAUACCUGAAGGAGCGUCUCCUCCCCCAUCGUUCUGCCUGGACACUGAGGUCCAGUGCCGAGGGCCUUCUGGUGGUUCCCUCACUGCGAGAAGCCAAGUUACAGGGAACCAGGCAGAGGGCAUUCUCGGUAGUGGCAUCCGCCCUGUGGAACGCCCUCCCACCUGAUGUCAAAGAGAACAACAACUACCAUACUUUUAGAAGACAUCUGAAGGCAGCCCUGUUUAGGGAAGCUUUUAAUGUUUAAUAGACUACUGUAAUUUAAUAUUCUCUUGGAAGCCGCCUAGAGUGGCUGGGGAAACCCAGCCAGAUGGGAGGGGUAUAAAUAAUAAAUUUAUUAUUAUUAUUAUUAUUAUUAUACCUGAGGAAGGCUAGUGUAAAGUUACCAUGACUGCACUCCUUAUCACCAACGUGAUUAUUUUUUUAAUAAGAUAUUUAUUAGGAUUUUUUUAAAGAUAUUACAGUAAAAAAUGAGAAAGAAAGAAAAAUACAAAAUAAAAAUGAUUAAAAACACUCAGAUUUUCCAUUGCUUAUUUUUCUUUAGCUUGUUUCCCGGACCUCCUCAUACCUCCCUUUUUUGUAUUCCAGUUCAGUUUGUUGGUUCAGCAAAUCCUUACCCUCUUUGUUUAUCCUAAUCUUUGGUCUUAAAAUAGUAACAUUAGAUUUUUACCUCUUAACAACCCCUUUUUCAUAUUCCCUUAAAGCAUUACAGCUAGAAACCACUUAAUUUCUAUCCAACAUCGUUCUAACAUUCAUUAAUUUUACAAUAUUUCUGUAGAUAAUCUUUGAACUUCUUCCAAUCUUCUUCCACCAACUCUUCUCCCUGGUCUAGGAUUCUGCCAGUCAUUUCUGCCAGUUCCAUAUAGUCCAUCAGCUUCAUCUGCCAUUCUUCCAGAGUGGGUAGAUCUUGUGUCUUCCAAUACUUUGCAAUGAGUAUUCUUGCUGCUGUUGUAGCAUACAUAAAAAAGGUUCUAUCCUUCUUUGGCACCAAUUGACCGACUAUGCCCAGGAGAAAGGCCUCUGGUUUCUUCUGGAAGGUAUAUUUAAGUACCUUUUUCAGUUCAUUAUAUAUCAUUUCCCAGAAAGCCUUAAUCCUGGGGCAUGUCCACCAAAGGUGAAAGAAUGUACCUUCAGUUUCUUUACAUUUCCAACAUUUGUUAUCGGGCAAAUGAUAAAUUUUUGCAAGCUUGACUGGGGUCAUGUACCACCUGUAAAUCAUUUUCAUAAUAUUCUCUCUUAGGGCAUUACAUGCCGUAAACUUCAUACCUGUGGUCCAUAACUGUUCCCAGUCAGCCAUCAUUAUGUUAUGACCAACAUCUUGUGCCCAUUUAAUCAUAACAGAUAUCGAUGGCGCCAACCCGGAAGUCUCAUCACCAAUGUGAUUAAAGACAAUUUUAAAUUGUCUUUAAUCAUCACCAACGUGAUUAAAGACAAUUUUAAUUUUCACUGGAAUGAGAAUUUUAUCUUUGUACAAUAGGCUAGUUUCUCAUACCCUCCAACCGUCUUCAGAUGAAAAUAGGGGCAUUUCUCACUCCACCCUAACUGACCCUCCUUGACUCCCCAUUUUUGUCAUCCCACUCCCUGCAGACCUUUUCCUAUCAGAAGAAGGGCAUCCACCAUCCUGAGAAAACCCUUUAAUCCUGAUUUUAUUUUAUUCUUUGGUAGAUUUUGAUGUAAAAAUUGGGGUUUGGCUUCUGUUGCCCAACUCCCCAUGGGACAAUUGAGUCCCCUAAGUCCAUUAUCAAUCAGAGAAGAAUGGGUGGAGACUGGAUCCAGUGGAAAGCAAGGCAGAUAUUUAUUUUUCUGUUGCAACAGAGUUCCUUCCGCUCCUUCUAAGGAGGAAGAGACCCUGAACAAAAGUGUGCAGGAACCUUUAAAGAAUUUUGACAAUGCCCAACCCCCUUAGCCAAAGACUACCCUAAAAACAUCAUACAUACAUACAUCAUAGGACGCGGUCUACAGCAAAAAUCCUGCCUGCCAGGAUAUCUGAUAACGGUCACUGUUUGCAUUCCUUGGGCAGCCUGGCCAUUCUUUUGUGAUGGUUAAUACUUUAGUUCCUGAAUCCAGGUCACAGGCUCACCAUAUUCAUGCACAAAUACGCCCUUAAGACAAGAUUUGUAAGCGAAAAGACAAUGGGAAGGCUUUCCCUAUUUGCCUCCCUUACUGCAGAGAAAUAUUUGAGGUCAUUGGGAGAGUCAACAUGGCUUCAGGAUUGCUCUCUUGUAUUAUUUCAGACACAUGGUUUGUAUAUUUAGAUAUGUGCGCAUUUAUGAAUAUUUAUCAUAUAUUUGAGACCUUAGAAUUCUUAUAACAAUUUACAAAAAAAGAAAAGCAAUAAAUACAUUUUAGAAAAGGACACUUGGAGGGUAUGUUUACUACACCCCCCCCUUCUCUAUUCUCCAUCUAAGCAAGCAGGAGGAAUUAUCCGAGAUCAGGGACAAAUUCUAGCCAAGCAAAAACACUUGGAAGGGGAGGGAUAGUGAAGCAGGGUGGGUCUGUGAGGGGUGUGGCCUGGGGAAAGUUAUGAGGGCCAGAUCGAGAGCUCUGGAGGGCCGCAUUUUGCUCCUGGGUCUGAGGUCCUCAAUCACUGCCUGUUAUGUACUGAAGUUCUCACCCUGGGCCAGCAGGCGGAUACUGUAGAUAGUUCAGGUCCACAUAUGCAAAUAAGGGAUCGAAAGUGACGUUCAGUGAUUGGAUAGUUACAGAAAGUUGUUACAGUUACGUUGUGCUGGAGCUCUAUAUAAGCAGGCUGGCUGAACCCUUCAGUUCAGUUCUGUUCUGACCUGUGAAUAAACAAGAGCUGUUUGGAGAAUCGCUGCGUCAUCUGAUAUGUUCACCCACAACUUAACACUGCCCUCUGGACUGAAUUGGACAUGAUACUCCUUAAGAACGGCUACGAUAUUUCAUGAGGGAAUCCUGCUGCGUAAGCCACAAAAAGUGGCACCAAUGAGUGCACACUCCCUUUUCGUUAGGCACGCAUUCUGUGUCCUUGCUUGCAAGUCGUUUAUCAAGCGGGUCUCCUGCUCUUCCAUUUUGUGAGCUCAGCAUAUGGUGUUUUAAAUCUCUCUCUCUCUGCCCCCACCCACCAUUUCCCCUUAAGGGGAGAAAAGUUUAUUAAAAGCAUCUUAUCUGCGACUUGCUGCAAAUACAAAUUUACAUUUCAUCAAUGUUUUUGGCUUUGUUAAGAAACCAUAUCCUCAAUUUCAUUUAGUUUUAGAGGGUUAUCUUUCCACUAAUAAUCUGGGGACGCAAACAAAUAAUUAUGGACUUGGUUUUUUCUUUCUUUCUUUCAGCCCUGAGGUGUUGUGCAUGUUGACAGGAUUUUCAUAACACUUGUGGUUUCCCUGUAUCUCUUUUGACAGCAGUGGAAGGGAGGGUGGGAAAUUUGUUUGGUUUACAGGAAAUAAUUAUUGGGAAGAUGUAGUAAAAUUUUAGACACAUCCAUUUAUAAGGGGGCGCGCGCAUUCCUUUCAAUUCUAGACUGCAAAUUAUUUCCUUGCAAAACUAGUACAUUUCCAUUCUUUUAAUUCAGUUUCCUAAGAAAGUGUCAUGUUCACUGUUUAUAUGGUGCAAUAAAAUCCCAGUCAUGAGGGACCUGACAAACUAGGCCAAGGACCGCCAAUUAUCUUGAGCCAGUAAGCACAUAAGACAUUUUAAGGCAAGUGCUGUGGAUGCUAGUCACAAGAUGGCUGCCAUAAGGGUGUGGCAUAGCACAAAAUGGCUGCCCUUGUGGUGUGUAGGAGAGGCAGAGCCAGUGCAAGCGAGGACGAGCAUGGAGGAAAGGUUUUCUCCCUGCCUCAUAACACAAGAACUCAUGGGCACCUAAUAAAGCUGAAUAUUGGAAGAUUUAAGGAUGGAUAGAAGAAAGUACCUCAACACAGCGUUGGCAGUUUCAGUUGUAUGGGCUGUUAGUUAUAAUUACUGUUUGAUUUACAGAGAGGCAUGGGACUAGCCUCAUGGAAAGCUGUAACCAUGUGGUGGCAGCAUCUGCCGUUUUGGUCCACACCGAAAGUGCUUGUGGAGAUGCCAGCACAAGAUCUGGUGAUGGUCACAAGCUUAGAUGGCUUAAAAGUGGGAUCUACUAGUUAUGAAGACUACGUGCUCCACCUCCAUCCAGUAUCAGAGGUAGAGAUUGCACUCAUGCACUGCUUGUUAAGGAUAAUGGUUAAAUUUCCUAAAAUGGGAAUGUUUGCUUAUGUUGAACUGCUGUGUGUUUCCCGCACGCAGUUUUGCUUUAACAAAUAGCUCUCAUGUGAUUGGCUGGCUGAGUCACAUGGGAGAGGCAUUCUAUUCUGUUGUGACUGUUACUCAAGUCACAGUUGUUUUUAACUGCUUUUCUGCUCUAUCUCUCUCUGUGUGGGGAGAACGGCUGAUGAGAGAGACUGCCCAGGACUGUUUGUGUUAGUGUGAUCUGUCUGAAGUGAAACAGACAGAGGAGAUCCCUAAACGUUAAUAGGGAGAAACCUGAGCAUGAGAUUGUCAAUACAUUCUUCUAAGUUAUAGAGUGUGUCACAUGCCUGUUUACACUCCAGCAUAGCUUGCUGGGAACUUCCAUUUGUGUACAGUGGUACCUCGGGUUACAGACACUUCAGGAUACAGACUCCGCUAACCCAGAAAUAGUACCUCGGGUUAAGAACUUUGCUUCAGGAUGAGAACAGAAAUUGCGUGGCAGUGGCAGCGGGAGGCCCCAUUAGCUAAAGUGGUACCUCAGGUUAAGAACAGUUUCAGGUUAAGAACGGACCUCCAGAACGAAUUAAGUUCUUAACCUGAGGUAUCACUGUAUAUGAAAGUAAAGUUGGGGUUUUUUGGAAAAUAUAAAGACUCUGGACAUUACAUAUCAUCACAAUUUAUUUAUCUAUGUAUACACAACAUUGCUUGCAGGCUUCCCACAGGGACCUGCUUGGCCAGGGUGAGAACAUGUUGAUGGGCUUUUGGUCUAAUUCAGUAGGAUUAUAUAUAUAUAUAUUCUCAUAAACAAUGGUGAUAUGAUUAUUGUGAAGCCAGAAACCAUCGCCAAUGGCCACUCCAAUUCUUAGAAUCAUAGGGUGGUAGUACUCAUGCUAUGGCCCACAGGCAACAAUAUAUUUUAGUAGCGGAUUUCUCUGCCGACGGCUACUAGCCUCCACUGAAUGCCACUUUGCUGGGAAUCACAAGUAAGGAGAGGUCGUGUCAUAGUCCCAUUGCCGAGCAACAGUAUUGAGGACAAAGAGAAGAGUCUCUGAAAUAUACCCUUGGCAGCACCAGCAUAUGAAGUCAAGUCUGUUCUGAGGGUUGGACAAACAGCAGUCCACAUAGCCAGACAAUCCAGCGGUCGAGGAGUCUGAUGUUCACGAAGCCGUGGGUCCAGAUGGACAGCAGGAAGCAACAAGGUUGGACCAGGAACCACAGGCAGGGGCGGAGCAAGGUGGGUGCGGUGGUGGGUGCAGACUGCCCUGGAUGUCACCUCAUGGGGGGUGACAAAAUGUUGUGUGGCACAGCCGUAGGGGGGCUUUUUUGUUGAAAAAAAGCUCAACAGCUCUGGCUCCCCCCAAAAAUCUGAAAGCAAACCAUUUUUGCAGGCAAAAAAAUCAAUAAAAAAAAUCAAUGUGUGGUGGGGUGAAAAGGACUUUUUUGCACCGGGUACCACUUGACCUUGCUACGCCACUGACCACAGGCAUUGUUUCCAUCCCCUGUCUGCUGCUGAAAUCUUUGUUUCAGAAGGCUGAAGCCAGCUGGUUCUCAUCCAUGCCUUCUUCUCCAUGUCUUUGAAGGCUGAUCAGCUGCAGGUGGAGUCACCCCGCCUGCUCCCAUUCCCAGGUUGCUGUUCAGCUGGUGAAGCUGACUCCUUGCCCAUGACAGGUUGUUGCAUUCAGGUCAUGCUUACAGGCUUAUCAUGGAAUCAUAGAGUUGGGAGGGACCACAGAGGUCCUUUAGUCCAACCCCUUGCAAGGCUGGAAUCUUUUGUCCAAUGUGGGGCUCGAACCCACAACCUUGAGAUUCAGAGCCUCAUGCUCUGCCGACUGAGCUGUCUUCUCACAGGCAUCUCGCUGGCCAAUGAGAGAAGAGGAUGCUAGAAUAGAUGAGCCCCUGGCUUGAUCCAGCAGGGCUUUUCCGACGUUCUUAUAUUACCCACCGAUCGCCCAGCAAACACAAAGCACUUCCAUCAAUUUGCAGGAGAUAUUUGCUGAUCUCCCUGACUCUGUGUGGUUCUCAGGUGGUCGUGCAAGUUUGCAUACAUGUUUAUCCAGCCUGGGCUGAAUCAGCACUUUGCAUGCUUACUAGGUCAUGAGCCUUCAGGCAGGACCCUGUUUAUUUUUAUUCCGUGUAUAUAAUGAGCACCAAGCGCAGUGCAGGUACUUUUAUAAAUAUUAAAUGGCGAUACUUUAUUUUAAUUUCCUAGGAUUGCAGGAGGAAUGAGAUUUUAAUGAAAGGAGACCCAGUAGGAAUGUGAGCAACGAGCUCAUAAGCACUUGCUGGAUUGUGUAGCUACAAGCUACAUGGUGGAAUGACUACAAAAAGUAGAGUGGGAGGGGGGGGAUCCGUUUUGACAUGAGGCAGACAAUUCCACAGAGCAAGCACAUGCCGUAUGACAAGUUAUCCAUUUCUCUUAAUAUGGGGCUCUGGGGGCAUGGGGUGGUGCAGAGAGCCCGAGAGCCUAUAUAUAUAUAUAUAUUCUUUCCUUGAUUUAAUGAACAGUUUCCUUGCGUAAUGAGCUCCCUCAGUACUUGGGGUAGGGGUGGGGGGAGACAAGAAGUAGUGAGAACAGAAUAGCUAGUGCUGAAAGUUUUUAAAAUGUAGAAGUCAUGAUGGAUGGAGAGAGAGAGAGAACAUCUAUCUCCUUACUUCUUGUUGUUUAGUCGUUUAGUCGUGCCCGACUCUUCGUGACCCCAUGGACCAGACCACACCAGGAACUCCUGUUUUCCACUGCCUCCUGCAAUUUGGUCAAACUCAUGCUGGUAGCUUCGAGAACACUAUCCAACCAUCUCGUCCUCUGUCGUCCCCUUCUCCUUGUGCCCUCCAUCUUUCCCAACAUCAGGGUCUUUUCCAGGGAGUCUUCUCUUCUCAUGAGGUGGCUAAAGUACUGGAGCCUCCACUUCAGGAUCUGUCCUUCCAGUGAGCACUCAGGGCUGAUUUCCUUAAGAAUGCAUAGGUUUGAUCUUCUUGCAGUCCAUGGGACUCUCAAGAGUCUCCUCCAGCACCAUAAUUCAAAAGCAUCAAUUCUUUGGCGAUCAGCCUUCUUGAUGGUCCAGCUCUCACUUCCAUACAUCACUACUGGGAAAACCAUAGCUUUUACUAUACGGACCUUUGUUGGCAAGGUGAUGUCUCUGCUUUUUCAGAUGCUGUCUAGGUUUGUCAUUGCUUUUCUCCCAAGAAGCAGGCAUCUUUUAAUUUCGUGGCUGCUGUCACCAUCUGCAGUGAUCAUGGAGCCCAAGAAAGUAAAAUCUCUCACUGCCUCCAUUUCUUCCCCUUUUAUUUGCCAGGAGGUGAUGGGCCCAGUGGCCAUGAUCUUAGUUUUUUUGAUGUUGAGCUUCAAACCAUAUUUUGAGCUCUCCUCUUUCACCUCCAUUGAAAGGUUAAUUCCUCCUCACUUUCUGCCAUCAAGGUUGUGUUAUCUCCUUACUUAACACCUUACAUCUCCCACUUCACUGUGCAACAAAAGACAGCCAGGUUUCCUUCCACAGAAGAAAGUACGGCCACAUUCGCACACUACAUUUCAGCAGCCAGAAACACCAUAAUCAGACACUGGAGAGACCUGUCAGGAGUAAGCAUGGACCAAUGGUACCAAAUAGUAUGGGAAACAGCCUUACUAGAAAAAGGAACCAAUAAACUGAAACUGACACGGGGACAAAUAGAAGAAGACGCCUUCACCCCAGUAUGGCUCCCCUUUAUCACAUACACAGCCCAACAAGACAAUGACAAUAAUCCACCAACAGCAUACAAAUCAAUUUGGCUAACCUGAUCCAAAAAACCCACCCACCCCACUCACACAUGAAAACAAAGACCACCACAGCCAAUCACAAACAAACAACCACACCCUAGGCCAACCCCAACCUCUCUCACCACCAAAGGAACACAAGUGAAUAGCAGAGAACCUGCACAAGCAACGCUAACACAAAACCCCACAUAUAUUAAAUAAAAUAGUAACAUCGCCACCCACCCCCACCCCCACCUAUCUCCCCCCCACCUUUUCACUUCUUCUUCCUAAUGUCUCGACAAAUGAAACUGAUCUGUAAAAAAUGUUACCUGGAGAAAAAAAAGAGAGAGACAUUACACAUACUUUUAUAAACUAAGGAAAGAUUUAAUAAAAAUACAUUUAAGAACUACAUUUAAAGGACAAUCAUAGAAUCAUAGAGUUGGAAGGGAUCCUGAGGAUCAUCUAGUCCAACCCCCUGCAAUGGAGGAAAACACAGCUGUCCCAUAUGGGGAUCAAACCUGCAACCUUGACAUUACUGGUGCCACGCUCUAACCAGCUGAGCUAUCCAGUGACAUCAAUUGUAGCACAUUUACAAAAGCUACAGUUUCCCCCAAAGAAUUCUGGGAGGUGCAGUUUGCUAAGGGUGCUGAGAGUUAUCAUUCCCCUCCCAUAUUCAAAGGCCACUUUAGUGAUCAUGGGGAAUCCUGGGAAUUGUAGUUUGGUAAGGGCAUUAAGCAGGGCUUUUUUCCCAGCCGGAACUCGCUAGAACUUGGUUCCGGCACCUUUCAAAUGGGUGCCAUUGCCGUUAUAAGAGAACAAGGGAGGCAGGCGUUCGUGGUGAGUUCCAGCACCUCUUUUUCUAGAAAAGUAACACUGGCACUUAGAGCUGCUAGGCAACUCCUGUUCCCCUUUCAGAGCUCUCAGGGUG